UACAGAGGUCCCAAGCGUUGUUCGGAUUCAUUGGGCGUAAAGGGUGCGUAGGUGGCGCCGUAAGUCAGACGUGAAAGCCCCGGGCUUAACCUGGGAACUGCGUUUGGGACUGAUUUGCUAGAGAUCGGGAGAGGAGAGUGGAAUUCCCAGUGUAGAGGUGAAAUUCGUAGAUAUUGGGAAGAACACCGGUGGCGAAGGCGGCUCUCUGGACCGAUACUGACGCUGAGGCGCGAAAGCGUGGGGAGCAAACAGGAU
rnacentral:rRNA from 1 species